CUCCUGCAGGGACUCCACGCUGCCUGGACCAGACCCCACUGCUGAGCUGCCAAAGGCCCCCCGUGAAGACCAGGAACAGUAGGCUGGAUCACUGCCAGGGAGAACCCCCCUGCUUGCAUUCCUGGUCAGAUGUGGAAAUGGACAAGAAGUCGAUUUCAGCUACUUGAUUAAAAAGGAUCCUGAAGAGACUCUGUAGUCAGUGCCAAAGUUGUAAAAGCAAAAUCUUUUAGCUCACCGGCACUGUACUUUCCAUUAAUGGAUGAAAAUCUAAAAGCAAACUUUCAGAUGCAUCUAUCUUUUUAGGUACUUAUAUGGCCCUCAUCACCUUCAUACUUGCACUCCUGAGGCAUUGUGAGAAACAUUAAUGGAUUUUAUCAUCACAACACACUUGUAAGCCCUGCUUAUCUGUAAAAGUCCCAAGCUUGUGAAUAACAGAAAUGGUCAGAAAGUGGCAGAAACCAUCACCUGGCAAUAUCU